AUGCUCUCUUUGGCAGCAUAUAUACUAAAAUUGGAAUGAUACAGAGAUUAGCAUGGCCCCUGUGCAAGGAUGACAUGCAAAAUAGAACUUUCUCUCACUAGCUU